UACGGCCGUAUCACGUUGAAACACCAGUUCUCGUAAGAUCACUGAAAUUAAUCAACGUCGAGCCUGGUCAGUAGCUAGAUGGAGAACCGCUUGUGACUAUCAGGUGCUGUAAG